GGGCACUAAUGCUUAUUGCACCACAUGUGUUUUUCUUUGAAACAAACUUGCUUUGGCGGUGGGCCCAGCCUGCCGCCAGAGGUCUAAACUUACAACCAAUUUUUUAUCAACUUGUCACACCAGAUUAUUACUUAAUAGUCAAAACUUUCAACAACGGAUCUCUUGGUUCUCGCAUCGAUGAAGAACGCAGCGAAAUGCGAUACGUAAUAUGAAUUGCAGAUAUUCGUGAAUCAUCGAAUCUUUGAACGCACAUUGCGCCCUCUGGUAUUCCGGAGGGCAUGCCUGUUUGAGCGUCGUUUCUCCCUCAAACCGCUGGGUUUGGUGUUGAGCAAUACGACUUGGGUUUGCUUGAAAGACGGUAGUGGUAAGGCGGGAUCGCUUUGACAAUGGCUUAGGUCUAACCAAAAACAUUGCUUGCGGCGGUAACGUCUACCACGUAUAUCUUCAAACUUUGACCUCAAAUCAGGUAGGACUACCCGCUGAACUUAAGCAUAUCAAAAGCCGGAGGAA
rnacentral:rRNA from 1 species